rfam:Cavia porcellus supercont2_255 genomic scaffold, whole genome shotgun sequence.
GGGGAUUUAGCUCAGCGGCAUAAGCACCUGCCUUGCAAGCAGGCGAGUUCGAUCCCCG